GAUGAACGCUAGCGGCAGGCUUAACACAUGCAAGUCGAGGGGUAUAGGUUUUCGGACCUAGAGACCGGCGCACGGGUGCGUAACACGUAUGCAAUCUACCUUUCACAGAGGGAUAGCCCAGAGAAAUUUGGAUUAAUACCUCAUAGUAUAGCAGUUUCGCAUGAAACCACUAUUAAAGUUCCAACGGUGAAAGGUGAGCAUGCGUCCCAUUAGCUAGAUGGUAAGGUAACGGCUUACCAUGGCUACGAUGGGUAGGGGUCUUGAGAGGAUGACCCCCCACACUGGUACUGAGACACGGACCAGACUCCUACGGGAGGCAGCAGUAAGGAAUAUUGGUCAAUGGACGGAAGUCUGAACCAGCCAUGCCGCGUGCAGGAAGACGGUCCUCUGGAUUGUAAACUGCUUUUGUUAGGGAAGAAACCCUCGGUUGCGAUCGAGGCUGACGGUACCUAAAGAAUAAGGAUCGGCUAACUCCGUGCCAGCCGCCGCGGUAAAAC
rnacentral:rRNA from 1 species